UAGGGUUUGUAUCUGCGAUCUCUUCUCGCAAAUAUUGACUCGGCCUGCGUCCCAACCUUCAUAUCCUGUCUACUUGUCAAAGUGGAGGCUGUUAAGUGCAGGGUUUCUUUUAUGUCUGAACCAGACUCUACGUAUUUGGGAUUAAUUGGGUUACUUGGAGAGUAUUUUAAAAUAAAGUACAGAUACUCUUUUGAAGAAGUUGGCUGUAUGCAUCUUGAGCCAUUUCAGGAUUAUACACUACUUCAAGGUUGCAACUGGCCGCAGCCUACUCUUGAAACCAAUCAGUCAUCCGUUCCUGCUGCUGCUGCCACUGUUUUUGCCUCCAGUACUUGCGCUUUUUGACAUCUGCUUCGCUUGCCUUUUGACAGUAGUAAUCUCAUUGAAAAAGAUGGCUUUACAGAACAUUGGUGCAUCAAACAGCGAUGAUGCCUUCUACAGG
rnacentral:misc_RNA from 1 species